GCAUCGAGCAUGCCCAUUUGCAAGAAAAAAUGAGGGCAAAAUAUAUAUAUAUAAGUGUGGAUCGGGACAAUGGACUUACUCCGUCGCGUCACUUCCAGUCUUCAGGAUUAAGGGUAUGUGCCCUUAAGAAAAAUGGCCGCAGCGAACAAGGAUGUGACGCGAACGGGGGUACCAGGUGAUUCCCUAUUACCUUAACGAAAGGAGGGUGAGGGAAGUGACCUCACAAGAAAUACAAUCUCUGAUUGGACAGCAAUAUGAAGGAACCACCCAUAAGAUGGAAGAACCGGCAGAUUUAUAAAGCAGCAGAAGGAUGAAUAAUAAUACCGAUUGAAAAAGCCCACAGAACGCGGGCGAAACGUGUCUCGGACUUGGACUUAAAGCCAC